rnacentral:rRNA from 1 species
GAUCUUGGUCAGGACGAACGCUGGCGGCACGCUUAACACAUGCAAGUCGAACGGAGUAAUUGAGCUUGCUUAAUAACUUAGUGGCGGACGGGUGAGUAACACGUGAGCAAUCUGCCUUUCAGAGGGGGAUAGCAGUUGGAAACGACUGAUAAUACCGCAUAACAUAGCGGGACCGCAUGAUCCUGUUAUCAAAGAUUUAUCGCUGAAAGAUGAGCUCGCGUCUGAUUAGAUAGUUGGUGAGGUAACGGCCCACCAAGUCGACGAUCAGUAGCCGGACUGAGAGGUUGAACGGCCACAUUGGGACUGAGACACGGCCCAGACUCCUACGGGAGGCAGCAGUGGGGAAUAUUGCACAAUGGAGGAAACUCUGAUGCCAGCGAUGCCGCGUGAGGGAAGAAGGUUUUCGGAUUGUAAACCUCUGUCUUAUGGGACGAUAAUGACGGUACCAUAGGAGGAAGCUCCGGCUAACUACGUGCCAGCCGCUGC